AUGAAUUUUUGGAUCAGCGACAGAUCAAUUUAACAUUUCAAAAACACUUUCUAGAAAACAACACUUCUUUACUGAUGACUGUUUCUAGUAUUGUUUGUUUGAACACAAGAUGUUUAUUGUGUGACAUCUUUAAACUACAGUAUGUCUGAUGUUGAAACAUCAUGUGUUUGUCUCCAUCAGGUAACACCUUGGAGGAUGAUAUUACUGCCAGCAGUGCUGAAGUGUUUUCAUCAGAGGGUCACAGUGUUACUCUGUCCUGUAAAUACUCAGUUAAAGCUGAUAAUCUCCAGUGGUAUCAACAAGAUCCUGGAUCAGCUCCUCAGUUCCUUCUCCUGAUCAGCGACACUUCAGAUCCAACUGUAGUGACAGCAAAACCUCCACACCCUCGACUGACUGUUAAACUGAAUGAGAAGAGAAACCGUGUGGAUCUACAGAUCUCCUCUGCUGCACUGACUGACUCUGCUGUGUACUACUGUGCUCUGAGGCCCACAGUGACAGGAAACACCACAACUCUGUACAAAAACCUCUGGAGAGAAGACAACACAAUACUCCACAACAUCCACUAGAGGGAGUCACACACUGACAAACUACGAUGGUAUGUAAUGAUACAGACCAGGGGUCUUAUUUAUAACCGUUGCGUACGCACAAAACGGGGUCUGAAACUGGCGUACGACUUUUCCCACACAAAGUUUGUGAUCUAUAAAAACAAACCUGACGGUAAAAUGUGCGCACCAGUAAGCAAACACUGACCCAGGUGUACGUUCAUUCUGGAGGCAGGGGAAAUCAUCGACACAGACGGUGAAGUGGUGAAUUGAAGCCUGCAGAUACAUACUGAUGUCUC